GUUUGAUCAUGGCUCAGAGCGAACGCUGGCGGCAGGCUUAACACAUGCAAGUCGAGCGGGCGUAGCAAUACGUCAGCGGCAGACGGGUGAGUAACGCGUGGGAACAUACCUUUUGGUUCGGAACAACACAGGGAAACUUGUGCUAAUACCGGAUAAGCCCUUACGGGGAAAGAUUUAUCGCCGAAAGAUUGGCCCGCGUCUGAUUAGCUAGUUGGUGAGGUAACGGCUCACCAAGGCGACGAUCAGUAGCUGGUCUGAGAGGAUGAUCAGCCACAUUGGGACUGAGACACGGCCCAAACUCCUACGGGAGGCAGCAGUGGGGAAUAUCGGACAAUGGGCGAAAGCCUGAUCCAGCCAUGCCGCGUGAGUGAUGAAGGCCCUAGGGUUGUAAAGCUCUUUUGUGCGGGAAGAUAAUGACGGUACCGCAAGAAUAAGCCCCGGCUAACUUCGUGCCAGCAGCCGCGGUAAUACGAAGGGGGCUAGCGUUGCUCGGAAUCACUGGGCGUAAAGGGUGCGUAGGCGGGUUUUUAAGUCAGAGGUGAAAUCCUGGAGCUCAACUCCAGAACUGCCUUUGAUACUGAGAAUCUUGAGUACGGGAGAGGUGAGUGGAACUGCGAGUGUAGAGGUGAAAUUCGUAGAUAUUCGCAAGAACACCAGUGGCGAAGGCGGCUCACUGGCCCGUAACUGACGCUGAGGCACGAAAGCGUGGGGAGCAAACAGGAUUAGAUACCCUGGUAGUCCACGCCGUAAACGAUGAAUGCCAGCCGUUAGUGGGUUUACUCACUAGUGGCGCAGCUAACGCUUUAAGCAUUCCGCCUGGGGAGUACGGUCGCAAGAUUAAAACUUAAAGGAAUUGACGGAGG
rnacentral:rRNA from 1 species